UACGGGGGGGGCAAGCGUUGUUCGGAAUUACUGGGCGGAAAGGGUUCGUAGGUGGCCUGCUAAGUCAGACGUGAAAUCCCUCAGCUUAACUGGGGAACUGCGUCUGAUACUGGAAGGCUUGAGUGCAGGAGAGGAACGCGGAAUUCCAGGUGUAGCGGUGAAAUGCGUAGAUAUCUGGAGGAACACCGGUGGCGAAGGCGGCGUUCUGGACUGCAACUGACACUGAUGAACGAAAGCCAGGGGAGCAAACGGG
rnacentral:rRNA from 1 species